rnacentral:misc_RNA from 1 species
UCUCCUACGAAGUUCUAUAUCCUGAAAAAUCCAUCAAUCAAAGAUUCCAACAGAUUACAUUUUGCAACUACUACCAUGUGCAAGUUUGUGUGUGGGUGAUGGGUAACAACUUGCAAAAUACAGUUUAGAGCCCAUUUUGUCUAGCUGCUUUUGUUUUUUUUCCCCCCUUUUCUGGAUGUUUUCAUUGUUUUUUGCUUAAUUUUCAUAGUAGAAAAUACUGCCAUUUACUCUGGGUUGUAUGAAUUGAUGUUAUUUUUUUAUUUGACUAUAAGUAAUUUGAAAUUAAAGGAAGAAAAGAGGUCAGAUUGAUUCGGUGCUUGGACUUCCCAACAGCAAAGAACACACCCCUUGUGAGUUCUAGCAGUCUAGAACACACCUAGGGUGUGUUCCACAGUGCAUAAAAGAGGCAGGCAGUGUGUUUCCUACUGGUCCAGAUGGGAGAGUGCCCAGGAUGUGUUUUUUUAUUUCUAGUCCAGAGUCAGUCCAGAUCUUCCUAUUUUGGACAAGAUACAGCUGGAGUUUCACUUUCCUAUUCCAAGUUGGAUUUAUUUUGGUUUCCUAUUUCAUGUAGGAUUUAGUUAUUACUUCCUAUUCUAUUUAGGACUUCAGUUAUUUCCUAAUGUAUUUAAGUUUAUCUAAACUUCCUAAAAAGUAGAUAUAUUUUCCUAUUCGAUUUAGGAGAUUAAAAUCUCUAUAAACACCCAUAUGUCCUAUGUGUUUUCAUGGUUUGGAGAUUUGAUUCAUAAAAUCCUAAAGAGUUUUCCUCUCAAUACUUGCGUAUUGUGUGUGAGAGUUUUCUAUUUGAGCUUCACGUUAUGUCAAAAAUAACAAGUGCCUUUGAUCUUUUAUUAUGCUGACUUAAAAAAACAAGAAAAUUAAAACAAUAUAAAUUUUGUUUGUCUUUUCAAUUUUCU